rnacentral:misc_RNA from 1 species
GAUGAAGAACGUAGCGAAAUGCGAUACGUAAUGUGAAUUGCAGAAUUCAGUGAAUCAUCGAAUCUUUGAACGCAUAUUGCGCUCUCUGGUAUUCCGGAGAGCAUGCUUGUUUGAGUAUCAGUAAACACCUCAACUCCCUUUUCUUUUUUGAAAUGGGAGCUGGACUUGAGUGAUCCCAACACUUUUCUCACUGGAAAGUGGCGGGUCACUUGAAAUUCAGGUGCAGCUGGACUUUUCUCUGAGCUAUAAGCAUAUCUAUUUAGUCUGCCUAAAAAACAGAUUAUUACCUUUGCUGCAGCUAACAUAAAGGAGAUGAGUUCUUGUGCUGACUGAUGCAGGAUUCACAGAGACAGCUUUGCGGCUGACUUUGUAAACUCGAUCUCAAAUCAAGUAAGACUACCCGCUGAACUUAAGCAUAUCAAUAAGCGGAGGA